rnacentral:rRNA from 1 species
UCAGGAUGAACGCUAGCUACAGGCUUAACACAUGCAAGUCGAGGGGCAGCGGGAGGCUAGCUUGCUAGUCUGCCGGCGACCGGCGCACGGGUGCGUAACGCGUAUCCAACCUGCCGUGUACUCGGGGAUAGCCCUCUGAAAGGAGGAUUAAUACCCGAUGUGGUCAUUAGGAGACAUCUCCUGAUGAUUAAAGAUUUAUCGGUACACCGAUGGGGAUGCGUCUGAUUAGCUUGUUGGCGGGGUAACGGCCCACCAAGGCUACGAUCAGUAGGGGUUCUGAGAGGAAGGUCCCCCACAUAGGAACUGAGACACGGUCCUAACUCCUACGGGAGGCAGCAGUGAGGAAUAUUGGUCAAUGGGCGUAAGCCUGAACCAGCCAAGUUAAGCGUGAGGGAAGACUGCCCUACGGGUUGUAAACCUCUUUUAUGGGAGAAUAAAGUGAGCCACGCGUGGUUUUUUGUAGGUAUCCCAUGAAUAAGCAUCGGCUAAUUCCGUGCCAGCCGCGGC